UACGGGGGGGGCAAGCGUUGUUCGGAAUUACUGGGCGUAAAGGGCUCGUAGGUGGCCAACUAAGUCAGACGUGAAAUCCCUCGGCUUAACCGGGGAACUGCGUCUGAUACUAGAUGGCUCGAGUGCAGGAGAGGAACGCGGAAUUCCAGGUGUAGCGGUGAAAUGCGUAGAUAUCUGGAGGAACACCGGUGGCGAAGGCGGCGUUCUGGACUGCAACUGACACUGAGGAACGAAAGCCAGGGGAGCAAACGGG
rnacentral:rRNA from 1 species